rfam:Picea glauca, whole genome shotgun sequence.
AUGUACACGCCUACAACAUAGCAUUAAUGCAACAGAUCCCAUUAGACCUUCGUAGUUAAGUGCACUUGGGAUAGAGUAGUACUGGGAUGGGUGACCACUCAAGAAGUCCUAGUAUUUUACAUU